rnacentral:rRNA from 1 species
GGAAUAUUGCACAAUGGGGGAAACCCUGAUGCAGCGACGCCGCGUGAGUGAAGAAGUAUUUCGGUACGUAAAGCUCUAUCAGCAGGGAAGAAAAAAAGUCCUUUGGACUUUGGACGGUACCUGACCAAGAAGCCCCGGCUAACUACGUGCCAGCAGCCGCGGUAAUACGUAGGGGGCAAGCGUUAUCCGGAUUUACUGGGUGUAAAGGGAGCGUAGACGGUAAUGUAAGUCUGAUGUGAAAGCCCGGGGCUCAACCCCGGGACUGCGUUGGAAACUAUGUAACUAGAGUACCGGAGAGGUAAGCGGAAUUCCUAGUGUAGCGGUGAAAUGCGUAGAUAUUAGGAGGAACACCAGUGGCGAAGGCGGCUUACUGGACGGAAACUGACGUUGAGGCUCGAAAGCGUGGGGAGCAAAC